rnacentral:misc_RNA from 1 species
GCUGAAGAACGUAGCGAAAUGCGAUAAGUAAUGUGAAUUGCAGAAUUCAGUGAAUCAUCGAAUCUUUGAACGCACAUUGCGCCCGCCAGUAUUCUGGCGGGCAUGCCUGUUCGAGCGUCAUUUCAACCAUCAAGCCCCCGGCUUGUGUUGGGGACCUGCGGCUGCCGCAGGCCCUGAAAACCAGUGGCGGGCUCGCUAGUCACUCCGAGCGUAGUAAUACAUCUCGCUCAGGGCGUGCUGCGGGUUCCGGCCGUUAAAAAGCCUUAUUUACCCAAGGUUGACCUCGGAUCAGGUAGGAAGACCCGCUGAACUUAAGCAUAUCAAUAAGCGGAGGA